GACCCGGUCGAAGGACUCCGUCAGAGCCUCAGUGGGCUGAAAGAGGAGAUCACAGGCCAAGAUGGAGCUUUAGUAAAACAUGAGCGUGCCGGAUCACGACCUAUCCUGGGAUCUGCAGUCCAAGCCCCAGAGGGAAGCCUUGCUCCUGGGGAUCAGAGGCAGAUAGACACCCUGUCUGCCACACAAGCCAAGACUAAAUUGUCUCAUUGGGAUCAGGGCAGUCGCAGUGCCGACCACAGAUCCCUUCAGAAUCAAGC